CCGCGCAUCAUCAUUACGGACAACGGUUCACAAUUUCUAUCGCACAUAUUCCGCUCAUUACUACGAAGAUAUAACAUUCAGCACAUGAGAACAGCAUUUUACACUCCAAUGUGCAACCCGACGGAAAGAACGAAUAGAACCCUCAUCACUUGUGUGAGGACAUUGUUGGAUGACGAUCAACGAGAAUGGGAUCAAAAUCUCCAACAGGUAAUCUGUGCAAUCAACACCGCCAAGCAUGAAACGUUAGGAUGUAGUCCAUACUUCGCCAACUUUGGACGCGAACAUGUUCUAUUCACCGAUCAAUACCCUUGCGCUGAUUUGAAUGCCCCUGCAGCAGCAGCACAAAAUCAAGAAUCGCGCCUGAGCACGAUAGAUAAUAUCCGAUCAUUUAUUGUCCAGCGAAUCAAAUCCUCACACGCCAGGAGCAAACAACGAUAUGAUCUUCGAACACGAACUACGAAUUUCGCUCUUGGAGACCUCGUUUGGAGACGAUCCUUCACACCUUCAUCAGCUGCAGAAGCCCGAACAAAAAAGUUGGGUCCUAAGUUCAUCCCAUGCUACGUAAGAGAGAUUAGAGGCCAGAAUAAUUACUUACUAGAAGAUGUGAAGACGUCAGCAAAAGGCAUCUAUCACGCCAAGGACAUAAAACCGGAUUGAGACUCGCAGUUCCUCAAGCUAUGUACACUACUUAGUAGUAAACGAUGAACAUAACGUUCUAAAAAUACGCUUUGCGGAUCUACACACAAACCACGCAGCAUUGGAGAAAACAUUAGUCUUGACAACUGUGGGAUUCGCCAGCUAGAUCGCCGUCGUUGCAAGAAAUGGGACAUGCUCCAUGCAACACGGGAGGACAAGAACAGGACCAGCACACGCAGAUCACCCAGACUUCAAAACAUCUCUAAUGACUGUACAGUGUGCAACUCACGACACGUCAGCCGUUCGCGAAUCGACGAAAAAUCGCCCCUCCUUGCUGAAUUCGGCAUGGAGGACUAAACCCAGCUAUGCAAGCAGCACACCAUUCGCUGCCGACAAAAAUGCACCAGUUGCAAAACGAAAACACGCAGAUUGACUAGAAGGCCCCACAUCAUAAUUGAAACCUCGUCAUUCACAGUCGGCAAAUAAGACCACAGUAAACCAGCAGCUAACAGUUCCAGAAGUAACAACCAAAAAGCUCAAUGCAACACCCAAACCUAAAAAAUGAACUCAUUGACUCACUCAUACGCGAUUGACUGUUAUACGCUCAAGUUCACACGAACAAUAAGCUAGCGCUUUCCAUCAAUCGCGCGCUCUGAUCGUCGCGCAUUCAGAAAAUUGCGCUUUCGAAUAUAAAUGAUACGAAACUCUACCACAAUACCAUACUAUUCCUACUCACACACUUAAAAUCACUUCAGAAAAUCAUUUGCAAAUGACAUAAUAGUCCUUAAGCACUAGUUUGUUAGGAUAUUAUCUCUGUAGUGGUUACUAUAGAUUAGCAAUAGCUCUUGCAAAUUUUGUCACGACAAGGAAGUGAAGGCAAGCAUUCUUCUUGAGUUAGAUAUAAGGUUUAGUUUUUGCUAUCAAACUAUAACUCUUAGAUUCAAGGUCCAACCAAGGAAAUGUUUUGUUGAAUCUAAAUUAAGCUGAAGUCAAUAUCAGUAGCAUUAAGUCAAGAUCGUAAAGCAAAGUUUACGAAAUUUUUGUGAAUGCCCCGCUGCCCGGCUCAUUCACAAAAAUUUCGUUGCGCCAAUCCAAACGUUGUAUUACGUUAUAAAGCUGUUAUAUAGUGUGAAGGAUAAACAUAAUAAUAAAGCCUGAACUGCUAAACGAUCCUCGUACCCGAGUAUCACCUCUCGCAACACACAACCCUACAAUCCAGGAAACAGCAACUCAGGCCAGCCAACAAGGAGAAAACCACUUCGUGUUAAAACUUUCCCACAUCGAACAUCAGCUAUUCAUUCGUCCCGUUGUAGUGUGCUGUAGUGGUCGACGACAGUGUGGCUCGUCACAACACGUGUUGGUGGAACAGAACGAGCGAGUUUUGCCAAAUAGCAUAAGCCUGUGCAUGUAAAAUAGUCUACCAAGAUCUUAACAUCACAGUGUUAAAAACAACACGUGUGGCAAUUCACGCAAUAGAACGCCAUCGCUAAACCACCGAUUCGCAGCUCUGUGUCCGAAGGUCACCACGUGCAGUAGAACAGCAGCUGCAGGGAUUGGUGAAACACAGCGGGAAGCGCACCUUGGAACGGAGUGCAGAAGGCCCUCAACGGAGGGCCUUUUUUCAUUGCAGUGAGCCGAGUGUGCAACCCAACCGUGUGCAAUCCAACCGACCACCAACACAUCAACGGACGAUUCGACACGUCACAGACACGCACCACGUUUCGGUUCCAGUAGAAGAAUUCCAAUUGGAAGCAGUGCUGGCAAGCCGCCCGUCGGCUAUGUAAAUGCGAAGUGCAUGUUUGCCCCUGUGUGCGUGACGAAAGUGAUCUAAACGGGCGCGCUAAACGCAGUUUGUUUACGUGAGCGAUAAGAAAGUUAAUUGGAAAGCGGAAAGGCAAUUGUUUGGGAAGGAUAGUGCAGAGGCAGUGGCUAUGGAAUUGUGAAAGGACAGCUGGUUCGGAAAGGAUAGUGCAGAGGCAGUGGCUAUGGAAUGGUGAAAGUGCAGUUGGCUGGGAAAGGUUUUGGUCGCAGAGGCAGCAGCAGUGUGUGGCGACAUUGAGAUUGGAUACGGAAAGAAGAGUGAACCGUGCAUAAAGUAAGAUUGUGUGUGUGCGAGCAGGUUAACAGCGAGGAUAAGUGCGUUGGCGCAUCGCGCUCUCGAAGAACGUCAUAGACGGUGACGGGUAAGGGUAAGGCAGCGAAGACGUUCGCUUGAGAAAAUGCCAGAUCAAGGUAGGACUAGUAUGUA